UACGGGGGGAGCAAGCGUUGUUCGGAUUUACUGGGCGUAAAGGGCGCGUAGGCGGCCAGCACAAGUCAGUUGUGAAAUCUCCGAGCUUAACUCGGAACGGUCAACUGAUACUGUGCGGCUAGAGUGCGGAAGGGGCAACUGGAAUUCUUGGUGUAGCGGUGAAAUGCGUAGAUAUCAAGAGGAACACCUGCGGCGAAGGCGGGUUGCUGGGCCGACACCGACGCUGAGGAGCGAAAGCGUGGGGAGCGAACAGG
rnacentral:rRNA from 1 species